rnacentral:rRNA from 1 species
CCUACGGGAGGCAGCAGUGAGGAAUAUUGGUCAAUGGACGAGAGUCUGAACCAGCCAAGUCGCGUGAAGGAUGACUGCCCUAUGGGUUGUAAACUUCUUUUAUAUGGGAAUAAAAUGUUCCACGUGUGGGAUUUUGUAUGUACCAUAUGAAUAAGGAUCGGCUAACUCCGUGCCAGCAGCCGCGGUAAUACGGCGGAUCCGAGCGUUAUCCGGAUUUAUUGGGUUUAAAGGGGGCGUAGGUGGAUUGUUAAGUCAGUUGUGAAAGUUUGCGGCGCAACCGUAAAAUUGCAGUUGAAACUGGCAGUCUUGAGUACAGUAGAGGUGGGCGGAAUGCGUGGUGUAGCGGUGAAAUGCUUAGAUAUCACGAAGAACUCCGAUUGCGAAGGCAGUUCACUGGACUUCAACUGACACUGAGGCUCGAAAGUGUGGGUAUCAAACAGGAUUAGAUACCCUAGUAGUC